CCCUUAGAUGUUCUGGGCCGCACGCGCGCUACACUGACGGAGGCAGCGAGCGUGUCCUUCGCCGGCAGGUGCGGGCAAUCUUGCGAGUCUCCGUCGUGCUGGGGAUAGAUGGUUGCAAUUGUCGAUCUUGAACGAGGAAUUCCUAGUAAGCGCGAGUCAUCAGCUCGCGCUGAUUACGUCCCUGCCCUUUGUACACACCGCCCGUCGCUACUACUGAUUGGAUGUUUAAGCGAGGUUCUCGAACUGCUAGCGACUUAGCUUCGGUGAGGUCGCAGUGUGGGAAGUGAACCUAGCUUUGGUGUCUAGAGGAAGUAAAAGUCGUAACA
rnacentral:rRNA from 1 species